rnacentral:misc_RNA from 1 species
AGCAGCCGCGGUAAUUCCAGCUCCAAUAGCGUAUAUUAAAGUUGUUGCAGUUAAAAAGCUCGUAGUUGAAUUUCGAGAUCAAAUUGUUGGUCGUGCCUUGGUACGCACUGGCACUAUUGGUUUCUCCCUUCUGACGAACCAUGAUGUCAUUAAUUUGGUGUCUUGGGGAAUCAGGACUGUUACUUUGAAAAAUUAGAGUGUUUAAAGCAGGCUCACGCUUGAAUACAUUAGCAUGGAAUAAUGAAAUAGGACGUUUGAUUCUAUUUUGUUGGUUUCUAGGAUCGACGUAAUGAUUAAUAGGGAUAGUUGGGGGCAUUAGUAUUCAAUUGUCAGAGGUGAAAUUCUUGGAUUUAUUGAAGACUAACUACUGCGAAAGCAUUUGCCAAGGGUGUUUUCAUUAAUCAAGAACGAAAGUUAGGGGAUCGAAGACGAUCAGAUACCGUCGUAGUCUUAACCAUAAACUAUGCCGACUAGGAAUCGGAUGAUGUUAAUUUUUUAAUGACUCAUUCGGCGUCCG